rnacentral:lncRNA from 1 species
UUGGUCAAAGGAUAAUACUAAUACAUAUUUUUUUUUGAAAAUUAAAGGGUUAAACCCGAGUCUAUUAAAGACACAGACCUAACCCCCGGGUGGGAGGUGCAGCCCACGGAUAGACCCUCUCCCGGGUAUUCAAAUGGGCCGAAAUGCAAUAGCCCAUAUCCGUGUAGGUGACCAAAAAAAUGUGACUUAGUUUCGCAUGGUAGGUGGAUCGAACUUGAAAUGUGGUGACAUCCCAAGCCUUUCCCCUUACCACUUGACCACAA